GCGCCGCCCUCCCGGCUCCAGAUUCAGCCCCGAUUCGUCCGUCCCUUGCUCUUUCUCUCCCCUCGCGUCUCUGUCUGCCCUCCCUCUCUUCGACGGCGAACCAGCGCGUGACCGGCGAACCAAUAUUUUCUCCUUGCGGAGAAGCAACGAAAAUAUCUUUGAAGUCUACAGCGAGGUAGUCUUACCGAUUUCGAGGAAGGAAGGUUUUUUGGUCAAGAAGGUGAGGGUUAAAAAGCAGUACAAUUGCCGCGUGAAAAGACGCGCAAUCUUGUCGCGCAAUCCUCUCCACAAGAUUGCGCGUCUCCUUCGGGGCAAGAGUGAGAAGUAAAGCUUUAUUUAAAGUCCCGAGUGCUCGUGACCCAGGAGCAGAAACGCCAAUCACCAUAAGUCACUUGAGACGCUCGUCUUUCGCUCUGAGAUAUCUGGCUUUGAUAGCUCUAGAUUGAGGCGUGAAGGUGAUCUCAUAAUUGUGCUGCUUUUGAGACUCGGACACGACUUGAUGUGCUUUAAGAACAAUUCAAGGCUAUCAUCUACAGUCCUCACUCGCUUUCUUUGUUCAUUUCCCUCUUCAAAGUUCUCGGCGAGGCUUGUUUAGGGUAUUCUCUCCCCGAUCUUGCACCUCUUUUCGUAUCUCAGCUCGCAGAAGACUAGGGCAAAGUCAGAGCAAGGCAAACAAAGGGACGCACCGUUUCGCUUCAGGUCGUUCCUUUGCCAUGCUCGUUGCACUGAUUCUUUUCUCUAUGCUUGUAUUCUAUCAUCUCGAGAAGAAGAAUAUGAGUGCAGAAAAAGAGAGCACUGAAGGAGCAUUCGCUUCUUCUUUGGUGUCAUCUAACAAAUGAUAGUUCUAUUCUACAGAUAAAAUGUCAAUCAAUUAUUUAAAUUUCAAAGUUUGAAGAGAAUAACUCAGUGAUGUUAUAUCAGGUUAAAGUGGAUUUGUUUUGCAUGACAUUGCUAAUACUUAAGGUCAGCGAGGAACAAAUAAAAGAGAAAUAGCAAAGACCUUUUGUUCAUCUCUAUCUCAUUUCCAAAUUCAUUUAGAAUAUGACAAUUUGAAAUUAAAAUGUAAGAUCACAUUCCUAAUCACUAACUAGGCCCUUUCUUCAUAUCUUCCACACAUUUCCAAUUUCGUUUGAACUCAUUUAUCAGCUUUUAAAUGAUUUAUCAAAUUAUGAUUUUUAAUAAUCAAACAAAAACAGAACCUUUGCUUAUUUAUUUUAAUGAAUGCAACUUGCUUGUACACAGAUUCUAGCUUUUUAUAGCCCAAUUAAGAAUUUAACAUCGUGAGCGGACCAAGCCAACAUCUUUUGACUUGACUAGAGGGUGAGAUACAAAAGAAGAUAAGGCAAGGACUAAAAGCAUCUGCAACUGCUUCUGUUCAAUCAAUUACAAAUUUAAUUAAAGAUUUUGUGUUAAUCUGUUCUUGCUUGGUAAAAAAAUUUUGGUGGGGCCAAGACUUAUGGAUGAAUAUGUAUUUUUUUUUAAAUAAUUGUGUUUAAGCAUAAUUUCCGAGAGUUGGCUGGGGCAGGGCACCCUUAGCCCCUCAUUAAAUCCACCCAUAUUGUCAGACAUUUUGGAUGUGGCAGGAGAAGAACUAAACAAGGAGAAAACUCAGGAGGGCAUUGGGAAUAUAUACUGCUGAGAGAGUUGAUAACUUAAUCAGUGGAGGUUAGGGAAAUGAAGAAAAUAAGAAAAAUAGAAAAAAACCAUUAGUAAUGAGGGCGAGGAUAUGGACAUGGAUGACCCAUUUAGCAAGAAUGGUUCGGGAAGGCCUACCAUUGCUGGGGGAGAGCUCACUCUCAUUUUUUUUUUUUUUUUUUUUUUGGGUUGGGUCAAAAGCUAACUCUCAUUGAGAUUGCGCGAACGAAAAUGCUUAGAGAGAAAGAGUUUGCCUAUUUUGGCUCUUCACUUUUCUAAUUUUUAAAUGACAAUUUCUUAUUUAACGACUCACAAAUUUGAUUGCUAUUUCCUUUAAAUUGUUUCCUUUUCAAUUGAUUACGAAGAUUUGAUAUUAGAUUUUAUGAAUAUCAAUAAUCAGCACUUUGAUGAAGGCAGAGAUCAACGUAUAUGCAUGUGCUUUCAAAUAGAUGCUUACAUUAAACCACUGAUCAAAGGCUUGAUUGAAGCAAAUAUGGAAAAUUUCUUAGAGGACCUGAGUGCAUAUGCCCUUAAUAAAUUUGAACCUUUAUUAUUAUUGAGUUUCAUGUGAAAACCACAUAAUAUAAGCGUUGAGAUUCAUUAGGGGCAUAUGCAUUUGAGAAUGCCUAAUGAAAUAUAGGCAUCAACAUGUUAGCUUUAGUUAAUUUUACAUGUGAGCGACAUGUUUAAUUUGUAACCAACCAAUAAGAGACGAUUAAUGAAAAUCUCCUCGAUUAGGAAAGUCCAUGCAUCAAGAGGAUGAGGUCCAUGGGAAAGAGAAGAUGUGCAUUACACUGCUCCAAAACAACAACUUGUAAUAUUGGAUUAAUCAAUAGACACCCCCCUAAGAAAACUCAUUCAUUAAAUAUUGUGUACAUACGGAAAUCAGGUGCUUUCUAUCUAGCCUUUUCACUUGUUUAUCUACAUCUUUUAGUGGAGCAGAAGGCAUCUUCUCUUCAUUAAACAUUUUAGUGUUAGUAAUCGUUCAUAAUGCAUGUGCUCUCCAUCAAAGAUUAGGAGCCUUGACUCUAGA